UACGUAGGGCGCAAGCGUUGUCCGGAAUUAUUGGGCGUAAAGAGCUCGUAGGCGGUUUGUCGCGUCUGCUGUGAAAGUCCGAGGCUCAACCUCGGAUCUGCAGUGGGUACGGGCAGGCUAGAGUGUGGUAGGGGAGACUGGAAUUCCUGGUGUAGCGGUGAAAUGCGCAGAUAUCAGGAGGAACACCAAUGGCGAAGGCAGGUCUCUGGGCCACAACUGACGCUGAGGAGCGAAAGCAUGGGGAGCGAACAGG
rnacentral:rRNA from 1 species